rnacentral:rRNA from 1 species
AGUGAACGCUGGCGGUAGGCCUAACACAUGCAAGUCGAACGGCAGCACAGUAAGAGCUUGCUCUUACGGGUGGCGAGUGGCGGACGGGUGAGGAAUACAUCGGAAUCUACUUUUUCGUGGGGGAUAACGUAGGGAAACUUACGCUAAUACCGCAUACGACCUACGGGUGAAAGCAGGGGAUCUUCGGACCUUGCGCGAUUGAAUGAGCCGAUGUGGGAUUAGCUAGUUGGCGGGGUAAAGGCCCACCAAGGCGACGAUCCGUAGCUGGUCUGAGAGGAUGAUCAGCCACACUGGAACUGAGACACGGUCCAGACUCCUACGGGAGGCAGCAGUGGGGAAUAUUGGACAAUGGGCGCAAGCCUGAUCCAGCCAUACCGCGUGGGUGAAGAAGGCCUUCGGGUUGUAAAGCCCUUUUGUCGGGAAAGAAAAGCAGCAGGUUAAUACCCCGCUGUUCUGACGGUACCCAAAGAAUAAGCACCGGCUAACUUCGUG